AUUGAACGCUGGCGACAUGCUUUACACAUGCAAGUCGAACGGCAGCGCGGGCUUCGGCCUGGCGGCGAGUGGCGAACGGGUGAGUAAUACAUCGGAACGUGCCCAGUAGUGGGGGAUAGCUCGGCGAAAGCCGGAUUAAUACCGCAUACGACCUGAGGGUGAAAGCGGGGGAUCUUCGGACCUCGCGCUAUUGGAGCGGCCGAUGGCAGAUUAGCUAGUUGGUGGGGUAAAGGCCUACCAAGGCGACGAUCUGUAGCUGGUCUGAGAGGACGACCAGCCACACUGGGACUGAGACACGGCCCAGACUCCUACGGGAGGCAGCAGUGGGGAAUUUUGGACAAUGGGCGAAAGCCUGAUCCAGCAAUGCCGCGUGUGUGAUGAAGGCCUUCGGGUUGUAAAGCACUUUUGGCGGGAACGAAAAGGACUGUGCCAAUACCACGGUUCGAUGACGGUACCCGCAGAAUAAGCACCGGCUAACUACGUG
rnacentral:rRNA from 1 species